rnacentral:rRNA from 1 species
AUUGAACGCUGGCGGCAGGCCUAACACAUGCAAGUCGAGCGGAUGAAGGGAGCUUGCUCCUGGAUUCAGCGGCGGACGGGUGAGUAAUGCCUAGGAAUCUGCCUGGUAGUGGGGGAUAACGUCCGGAAACGGGCGCUAAUACCGCAUACGUCCUGAGGGAGAAAGUGGGGGAUCUUCGGACCUCACGCUAUCAGAUGAGCCUAGGUCGGAUUAGCUAGUUGGUGGGGUAAAGGCAUACCAAGGCGACGAUCCGUAACUGGUCUGAGAGGAUGAUCAGUCACACUGGAACUGAGACACGGUCCAGGCUCCUACGGGAGGCAGCAGUGGGGAAUAUUGGACAAUGGGCGAAAGCCUGAUCCAGCCAUGCCGCGUGUGUGAAGAAGGUCUUCGGAUUGUAAAGCACUUUAAGUUGGGAGGAAGGGCAGUAAGUUAAUACCUUGCUGUUUUGACGUUACCAACAGAAUAAGCACCGGCUAACUUCGUG